rnacentral:rRNA from 1 species
GACGAACGCUGGCGGCGUGCUUAACACAUGCAAGUCGAACGGAAAGGCUCCAGCUUGCUGGAGUACUCGAGUGGCGAACGGGUGAGUAACACGUGGGUAAUCUGCCCUGCACUCUGGGAUAAGCCUGGGAAACUGGGUCUAAUACUGGAUAUGACCUUUCUCCUUAUGGGGUUUGGUGGAAAGUUUUUCGGUGUAGGAUGAGCCCGCGGCCUAUCAGCUUGUUGGUGGGGUGAUGGCCUACCAAGGCGACGACGGGUAGCCGGCCUGAGAGGGUGAUCGGCCACAUUGGGACUGAGAUACGGCCCAGACUCCUACGGGAGGCAACAGUGGGGAAUAUUGCACAAUGGGCGGAAGCCUGAUGCAGCGACGCCGCGUGAGGGAUGACGGCCUUCGGGUUGUAAACCUCUUUCAGCAGGGACGAAGCGUAAGUGACGGUACCUGCAGAAGAAGCACCGGCUAACUAUGU